GUCCACGUGGCCUAAUGGAUAAGGCGUCUGACUUCGAAUCAGAAGAUUCGAGUCCUGUCGUGGACG
rnacentral:tRNA from 1 species